rnacentral:lncRNA from 7 species
CUCCAGGGUUAGGCUUCUCCCAUGGGCCCAUCCAUGUCUCGCACGCAUCAGGGCAAGCAUGGCGUCUGGGACUGAGCCGCAGGAGACUCACAUGACACUGGUGAUGCUGCUCCUUGCCUCUCUUGGCACUGGGGGUUCAGCAGCAGGACAGGACGCCCUGCUCCACUGCCUCUGACAGGUCUCUCCAGGCUGCCUCCUGGAACUCAGGGCCCAGAGUGGCCACAUGCUCUGGGAGAGCCGACAGCAGCAGCUGCUGGAGCUCCUGCUCAGCUUUGCUGCAGCGGUUGCCGCUGAGGCAGGAGCACCGUGGCCCACGUGUCUGUCUGUCUGCACCUGCAAAACACGGAGGGGGCAUGAGCCACAGCAGGAUGGGGCACCAGUUAUGCCCUUGGCCCAUCAGACCGACCUGCAGCGUGCCAGGUCCUGGUCUAGGGUUGGGCUCCUCCCAUGGGUCCACCCAGGCCUUGCAUGCAUCAGGGCAAGCUUGGGGCUUGGGCUGAGCCACUGGAGACUCACCUGACUCCCGUGCUGCUGCUCCCUGCUGCUCCUCACUCAGGGCAUUCGGGCAGCUGCUGAAGGACAGGCAGCCCCGCUCCGCUACCUCUGACAGGUCCCUGCAAGCCACCUCCUGAAACUUAGGGCCAGGAGUGGCCUCGUGCUCAGGCAUCACCGUUAGCACCAGCUGCUGCUGCUCCUGGUCAGCUUUGCUGCAGCGGUUGCAGCUGGAGCAGGAGCACCGUGGCCCACAAGUCUGUCUUCUGCUCCCACCAACCUACAGUUGCACCUGUCUGCAUGAUGCUCUCGUGUACAACUGUCCCCAGCUGUGUGAAGGAGCAGGUCCCAGCAUGCAGCUCACCAG